UACGAAGGGGGCGAGCGUUAUUCGGAAUCACUGGGCGUAAAGCGUGCGUAGGCUGUUCUGUAAGUUGGAAGUGAAAUCCCAAGGCUCAACCUUGGAACUGCUUUCAAGACUGCGGAACUCGAAUUCGGGAGAGGAUAGCGGAAUUCCUAGUGUAGUAGUGAAAUACGUAGAUAUUAGGAGGAACACCAGUGGCGUAGGCGGCUAUCUGGACCGAUAUUGACGCUGAGGCACGAAAGCGUGGGGAUCAAACAGG
rnacentral:rRNA from 1 species